rnacentral:rRNA from 1 species
GGAAUUUUGGACAAUGGGCGCAAGCCUGAUCCAGCAAUGCCGCGUGAGUGAAGAAGGCCUUCGGGUUGUAAAGCUCUUUUGUCAGGGAAGAAACGGUGGACUCUAAUACAGAUCACUAAUGACGGUACCUGAAGAAUAAGCACCGGCUAACUACGUGCCAGCAGCCGCGGUAAUACGUAGGGUGCAAGCGUUAAUCGGAAUUACUGGGCGUAAAGCGUGCGCAGGCGGUUUGGUAAGACAGAUGUGAAAUCCCUGGGCUCAACCUAGGAAUUGCAUUUGUGACUGCCCGGCUAGAGUGUGUCAGAGGGGGGUAGAAUUCCACGUGUAGCAGUGAAAUGCGUAGAUAUGUGGAGGAACACCGAUGGCGAAGGCAGCCCCCUGGGUCAAGAUUGACGCUCAUGCACGAAAGCGUGGGGAGCAAACAGGAUUAGAUACCCGAG